rnacentral:rRNA from 1 species
GAUCAGUGGCGAACGGGUGAGUAACACGUGAGCAACCUGCCCCUGACUCUGGGAUAACGACCGGAAACGGUCGCUAAUACCGGAUACGAGACGUACAGGCAUCUGUAACGUCUGGAAAGUUUUUCGGUCAGGGAUGGGCUCGCGGCCUAUCAGCUUGUUGGUGGGGUAAAGGCCUACCAAGGCGACGACGGGUAGCCGGCCUGAGAGGGCGACCGGCCACACUGGGACUGAGACACGGCCCAGACUCCUACGGGAGGCAGCAGUGGGGAAUAUUGCACAAUGGGCGAAAGCCUGAUGCAGCGACGCCGCGUGAGGGAUGACGGCCUUCGGGUUGUAAACCUCUUUCAGCAGGGAAGAAGCGCAAGUGACGGUACCUGCAGAAGAAGCGCCGGCUAACUACGUGCCAGCAGCCGCGGUAAUACGUAGGGCGCAAGCGUUGUCCGGAAUUAUUGGGCGUAAAGAGCUCGUAGGCGGUUUGUCGCGUCUGCUGUGAAAACCUCAGGCUCAACCUGGGGCUUGCAGUGGGUACGGGCAGACUAGAGUGCGGUAGGGGUGACUGGAAUUCCUGGUGUAGCGGUGGAAUGCGCAGAUAUCAGGAGGAACACCGAUGGCGAAGGCAGGUCACUGGGCCGCAACUGACG